rnacentral:rRNA from 1 species
AUUGAACGCUGGCGGCAUGCCUUACACAUGCAAGUCGAACGGCAGCACGGGAGCAAUCCUGGUGGCGAGUGGCGAACGGGUGAGUAAUAUAUCGGAACGUGCCCAGUAGUGGGGGAUAGCCCGGCGAAAGCCGGAUUAAUACCGCAUACGACCCGAGGAUGAAAGCGGGGGACCGGAAGGCCUCGCGCGAUCGGAGCGGCCGAUGUCAGAUUAGGUAGUUGGUGGGGUAAAGGCUCACCAAGCCAACGAUCUGUAGCUGGUCUGAGAGGACGACCAGCCACACUGGGACUGAGACACGGCCCAGACUCCUACGGGGGGCAGCAGUGGGGAAUUUUGGACAAUGGGCGAAAGCCUGAUCCAGCAAUGCCGCGUGCAGGAAGAAGGCCUUCGGGUCGUAAACUGCUUUUGUACGGAGCGAAAAGGUCCCCUCUAAUACAGGGGGCUCAUGACGGUACCGUAAGAAUAAGCACCGGCUAACUACGUGCCAGCCGCCGCCGUAAGAC